UUUUGUCCUUCAGGGCUAUGUGGUAGUCGUGUUUCUUUUUAACGGGGUGCUUAUGAAUGUGAUAUGCUGUACUCUAAUGGAAGUCCAUAGUGCUGUAGCAGCAGGUGUGUAGGAAAACCAAGCCACUGCAGCCAGGGUGGGCAGACUGUACUGAGGAAGCAGCAGUCAGGGCAGCUCUCGUUCUACUAACACAGCCUCAGCAGUCAAUUUGUACUCUGCCACUGAUAGGAAAACCUCAAAGGAAGAUAGAGGACACCUCCUUAUCCAAACUACAGCUGAGAAAAUACAGAUUCUCCACAGUCCCCUGCCACAGAGCAGAUCUGGAAAAGGCAAUUAUGACUGAAGCCUUUGACUGUCCUAGGUGAAGUGUUCUGGCUUAGAUAGGCUGAAUGAGGUCCUUCACC